AAGGGGGGGGGGGGGGGGGGUAGAAAAAAAAGUCCAAAAGGCAGACAGCAACCACUGGAAAUUCCAGCCCCCUCCUCGGGCUGCGUGGUGCGUGUUCGCAGAAGCAGGAAGCUGCUUUAAGGUGACGUCACAGUCAACAGGGGGUCGACCGCGCGUGCGCAUUGAGACAGACUGCGCUCCUCCCGGGAUGAACAGCACCAGCAUCAGUUCUCGUCUGGUCGUCGCGUUGUGGCUGGAAACUGCUUCGAGCCUCCAAAAAGAGCUGCGAGGACUUUGAGGAAGAGCCUUGUGCCAAUAGUCCCUGUUUAGUUGCAGCCAUGGUGCCAGCAAUCCUCAAGGUGUAUCUAAUUGGAACCGUGCUGACCGUGCUCGCAGUCUUCUACGGGAUAGUGGACUCCUUCGGCGGCCUGAUGUACGCCCAGGACCAUAACUACAUGCUGGAGCGGGAUGAACAGACGCAGAGACAGCUCUCGACGAGGAACCGGCAGAGGGGAUCGCAUGUGACCAAAGGAAUCGGCUCAUAGAGGGCGAAAUGUGUUUGACUUGUGACUUUCUCAGGAGGUCUGCUGGACGGACGUGUUGGGACAGCGCGGACCGACGGACAGUGAUCACAGGAGAUGGAUAUGUUGUUAACAUGGAUGCCUAAUCCCACAGCAAGGCACUGUUAGUUCUUCGUCAACGCUGCUACACAUCUGAGGACAAAUGUCACGGCACUACUGAACAAUGAUUUGCACAAAAAAAAAUUGGAACUUUGGUUUUUUGGAAAAGUUUUUUUUUUUCUUCCCCAAGGUCAAUAUGUGUAUUUUUUGUUAUAUUUUAAUUUAAUAAAAGGAAUUGAAUGGAAUUGUGAUCGUAAAGUUAACUGCAGCCUCUCCCAAGAAACUGAACAGACUGAACAGAACCCAGAAUGUUUCAUAGGAAUAAAAUAUUGUGAACAUUU